GCGUGAGCUUCGGCAGAGAGAGCAUCUGUGAGCCAAAUUCACCGGUGCUGGGUUUUAAGGAGAAGAGCCACGAGUGACACGUGGAGGAGUCCCAGAGGCUUAGUGGUAUAGAUCCACUGUCUCUUUUGGGUAUUUAAUUUAUGAUUUAUAAUGUGUUAUAUUGCCAAUAUUAGGGCUUUUUGUUUAUUGUCAAUUAUAUGAAUAUAUAAAUGUAAUCAUGUCUUUCAAACUAUUUCUAUUUUUGGUACAAUUUGGAUGACUGUAAUUUUAAUAUUUGGUUUACUUUGGAUUGGUUAAAAUGGCAUGAUUAUAAGGCCAAAUAA